rnacentral:tRNA from 1 species
GCGGAUAUAGUUUACCAGGCAAAACAGCGGUAUAUCAACAAUACACACAACUUCUUAAAAACUGAUUGAUUGAUAACCGUCUCUAAAGGGUUCGAGUCCCUUUAUCCGCA